GGAGCCCUUCCGGGAGCGACGGCGCUCGCCUAGGUCUGCAGAGAGCCUGGGGCCAGAGUUUUUGCGUGCUGUGCUGCCAGUGCUGCUGCAGGGAGCCGUGAGAGGAGCAUGGGCGAGCCGGGAAGCCACGACAUGCAUGCAGUGACCUAUGAUGAUGUGCGUGUUGACUUCACUUGGGAAGAGUGGACUUUACUGGAUCCUUUGCAGAAGAAUCUUUACAAAAAUGUGAUGCUGGAGACCUACAGGAACCUCACUGCCACAGGGUACAGGUGGGAAGACCACACAGUAUUGAGGAACACCGUCAAAGUUCUCAAAAACAUGGAAGGCAUGAAAGAAGUCAUACUGGGAAGAAACCUUCUGUAUAUCCUCAAUCUUUUAAAACCUUUGCAUAUGACAGUCAUCUUCAAAUGCAUGAAAGAACACAUGGUUGUGAGAAACUCUAUAAAUGUAAUCAAUGUGGGAAAGUCUUUGAGCGACACUCUGGUCUCCUAAGGCAUGAAAUAACACAUACUGGAGAGAAACCCUAUGAAUGCAAUCAAUGUGGUAAAGCCUUUCCCCACUCCAGUCAUCUUCAAACACAUAAAAGAACGCAUACUGGAGAGAAACCCUACGAAUGCAAUCAAUGUGAAUACACUGACCUAUGAUGAUGUGCAUGUUGACUUCACUUGGGAAGAGUGGACUUUGCUGGAUCCUUCCCAGAAGAAUCUCUAUAAAGAUGUGAUGCUGGAGACCUACAGGAACCUCACUAUCAUAGGAUACAGUUGGGAAGACCAUAAUAUUGAAGAACAUUGUCAAAGUUCUCAAAGACAUGAAAGGCCUGAAAGAAGUCAAACUGGAGAUAAUCCUGUAUAUGUUCAAUGUAUUAAAGCCUUUGCAUAUGACAGUCAUCUUCAAAGGCAUCAAAGAAUAUAUAUUGGAGAGAAACCCUAUCAAUGCAAUCAAUGUGGUAAAGGCUUUGCACGUAAUAAAAAUCUUCAAAUACAUAAAAGAACACAUACUGGAGAGAAACCCUAUAAAUGUCAUCAAUGUGGUAAAGCCUUUGUGCGAUACAAUCACCUCCAAACGCAUAAAAGAACACAUACUGGAGAGAGACCCUAUGAAUGUAUUCAAUGUGGUAAAGCCUUUGCACAACAAAGUCAUCUUCAAAUGCAUGAAAGAACACAUACUGGAGAGAAACCGUAUGAAUGUAAUCAGUGUGGUAAAUCCUUUGCUUAUCCCCAUGUUCUUCAAAUGCAUAAAAGAACACAUACUGGAGAGAGACCCUAUGAAUGUAAUCAAUGUGGUAAAACCUUUGCACGUCAAAAUAAUCUUCAGAUGCAUACAAGAACACAUACUGGAGAGAAGCCCUAUGAAUGUUACCUAUGUUCUAAAGCCUUUGUACAACAAGGUCAUCUCCAAAUACAUGAAAGAACACAUACUGGAGAGAAGCCCUAUAAAUGUAAUCACUGUGGCAAAGCCUUUGCUUAUCACAAUGCUCUUAAAACGCAUAUAAGAAUACACACCGGAGAGAAACCCUAUGAAUGUAAUCACUGUGGUAAAGCCUUUGCUCAUCACAGUCAUCUCCGAGUACAUAAAAGAACACAUACUGGAGAGAAACCCUAUGAAUGUAAGGAAUGUGGUAAAGCCUUUGCACAACACAGUGUUCUCCAAACACAUAAAAGAAGACAUACUGGAGAGAAACCCUAUGUAUGUAAUCAUUGUGGUAAAUUCUUCGCUCAUCAUAGUGGUCUUCAAAUGCAUGAAAGAACACAUACUGGAGAGAAACCCUAUGUAUGUAAUCUGUGUGGUAAAGACUUUGCAUAUAUAAGCAAUCUUCGAAAUCAUCAGAAAAAGGCACAUUGCCGAGAAACCCUAAAAAUAAAGUCAGUGUAACAAAGUUUUACACUUUAAAGGAGUAAAAUAUUUUGUGUGCCUUUGCUAAUUACAAUCGUUUUUGAGUACCUGAAAAAAAUCUGAGGGUAUAUUAUAAAGAAUUUGGUAAGCUCUUAAUCCAACACACUUACAUACAUUCAUUCAAGACUAUUCAAGAAUAUUGUCUAGAAAAAAAUUGGAUGGUGUCAACAAUCUUUUCAAGAUUCAAGAUGUCCAUUUUGUAUUAUUUGCCUCUACAAACUCAUGUGAAAAUUGAAUUUAUGGAGCCCUAUAUGUAGGGUAAAAGGACCAGCCAAAGAAUACGCUCGAUCCUGAACCAGAGCCAGUGAAAGACACACACAAUGGCUUUGAAACCAAAGCCAAAGAAACACAUUCUUCCCUGACCAACUGAACAUGAAACCAACCAAUCUCUGGUAACUGAAACCAACCAGUCCUUGAGGAUAGAACUAACCAGCAAAUGAGCUUGAAAUCUAGCCAGUCUGCCAGCUCAGGGGUUGAAACCUGACCAUUUUCCACUCUGAAAGUCUCGCUCAAUCUCUGUCCAUGAGAGGCCCCGUAUAAGCCCUGUGCCUUUUUAGUUGGCAUCUGCCCUAUACAGUCUCCUACAGCUCUCACUUUCAAAUAAAUACCUUUAGCGAGUUUGGGGGUGAUGAAAGAUCUUUCGGCAGAUCAGGGUCGAAUCCUUUCCGCAAAUCUCCCUGGUGGAGCAGAGCUUAGGAGCAAUGGACGUUUCUGGUGGGAAACCCCAAGUGGAACAGAGCCGAGAAGGAAAUGGCACAGCUGCUGGGAAACUCCAUGGGGCGUGGAGCAGAUUUGGAAACAGCUCACAGGAGUCAGAGCAGGCUGACACAUAUCUUAGUUGAGUGAAGCAAAGAAGUAACAACUGAGAAGAAACGGACAUCUCUGCUGUGUAACUCCGUGGUGUCAGAGCAACUCCUCUAGGGAACUCCCUUAGGGGAGCAGCAAUUCUCAUCUCUGCUGGGAAGUUCUCUUAGCAAAGAGGAGUGUAUCCCAGGUAUAGUGGCUCUCAGAGGAACAAGAUUGCCAAAUCCUGCUGGGACACAUUUUCCCACCAGAGGACAACUUCAGUGAGAUAUAUCUGCUCCUGGCCACACUAAUCUUCAAAGAAAACAAUGGACACUGAGAAGCUCCACAAGGAGUUGACUUUUUUGGUGACAAAAGUUAAGUCACUAGGCAAGGACGUGCUCUUGCCUCGACUGCCAGCAAUAUGCUGUCCAAAUUGGAAAAGCAAGGGCAGGGCGGCGGUGGCGCACGCCUUUAAUCCCAGCACUCGGGAGGCAGAGGCGGGCGGAUCUCUGUGAGUUCGAGGCCAGCCUG